UUGGUGUUCUCCAAACCUCCGACAAGAUGCAGACCGUGAACCUCGGGGUUACCGAGUCAUGGGCAUAGGAAUAAAUCAGCAACACAAAAGAAAAGGCCUUUGCUUCCUCGAAAGGCCGGGGCUGGCCCCAGCACAGCCCCUCGAGCCCCAGAGCUCAGCCCCGGCUGUCAACCCGUCCUCCCUGUCCCGCUCUGCUGCCCUUCGCCGGGGGGAGGCUCUGCCCGUGUGCGGGGCUGUCCCCGGGGUAAAACCAGCUGUGGCCGGGGGGGGCUGAUCCUGCAUCUGCCCCGGGGAGCUGCUUCAAGGGGCAGGAGCCCGGCCAGCCCCAGCGAGGAGAAGGGUGAGAGGGGUCCUUCGCUUGGCCCCCCGGCACCAGGGGGGCUCGGCCCCUUGGCACCCGGGGGAGGGCAGGGCUGGGUGGGCCAACCAGGAGCACAGCCCCUGGGGGCUCCGCGGGACCCCACCAAGCAGCACUGGCCCCCAUGGCUGGGACCCCUGUGCUGCCCCAUCCUCUCCUGGCUGAGAUAAAGCUGGGCCUGCUGCAGGGGCUCUGCAGGCUGAGAUGGGGCCACUGGGCAGAAAUCUGCCCCCAGUGCCCUGGGGAAGAGGCAUUGGCGGAGCGGGGGGAGCCCAGGACCUGCCUCGCCAAGGGAAGCAAAGACACACAAGCCCAUGGAAGACAGAGCCCAUCUUUGUUGAGCAUGAAGUACCUGAAAUAUUUAUUAAGUGGAAAACAUAUGGUGCAAACCAGCACUGUAGAAUUAAAUAUUUCUUACUGUAUUCCUUUGCUCUAGGCUUUUUCCCAUUAAACAUUAACCACCAGCACAUGGAACUUGGCCUCAAGAUUGAGUAGCUGCUUUCAUGAUGGGACAAAUCUGUGGCGUUUGCAUUAUCUCUGCGCUCGCUGCGUGGUGUUGCUGACAAACACAACUGGAAUGAGGCACUUUCAGCUGCCUUGGCCACCCUCUGCGGACUGUGAUGGGCUGCCCAGGACCGAAGGCACGAGGUGUGAAGGGCUCAGCUUGCCUCCUGUGCUCCUCUAACCAUGUGCUGCCGCCAGCACUGCAGCAGCUCUUUGUAGGCUUUCCAAACACAGCCUAAAUCAUAGGAACUAAGCCCAAUGCUGCUUGCGCUGACAUCACCGGCAGCCGUGCUGCUGACAUCAGCAAGACUGGAAAUAAGCCUCAGCUUUUGAAAAAAAAUAUCCCUUUCUUCAUAUUCAGUGUUUCCUCCAUCUUUCAAGUUCAAGCAAAUCCUUCUCAACAAGCCAGGAGGUGUCAGCGAGUGAAAUCGCAUUUCGGUGCGUUUUCCAUCUUCCUUCUCACAUGAGUAAUUCAAAUGACCAUGGCCAUGGGUCAGCAAAGCCUGGGCCAGGGGCUGGGACGGGGGUAGGAGGAGGCAGUGACCAGACCCCAGCAGACACAGCUCCGGGCUCGGGGAGGAGGAGGAAGACUGGAGCCCAGCAAAACUCCAACCUGGAAACUUGAUGCCACUGAAAAAGUUGGAUUUUUGGAGCCCUCAGGUGCACACCAAGAAAAUAGCACAGUACCAAAGCAGAGAGGAGGCCAUUUUCCCACUUGGCUCUAACAGAGACCCUGACACACGUGCAGAAAGCCGGAGGUGACCCUCGCACGGGGGAGCAGCCCCCCCGGUCGGAGCGACGCCGAGACGUGGAGCCCAGCCCUGCACCGAGCCCGGGGGAGCACCCGAGGAGCAGCGAGGACACGAGCAAGGCAAGAGCUGAUUAUUCCCAAGGUCUGCACGAGGGGACACAGCUCCUGCCCACGAGUCACGGGCAGAUCACACACACUCACCAGAAACACCGGUCUGCGCUCCGCUGCCUCCUCAAUCAGCGCCGGAGCCUCUGCUCCCCCAGCGUGUCACACGCACUUUCAUUUAGUGCCUUCCAAUUUUCCAGAGCUCUGUCCCUACCAACGGGCGUGGAGAGGGGAGGGAGAGGAGAAAAAGCUUUGAAAAUUAUGGUAGUGUUGCAAGGUCAACAUUAAGGCCUGCACUUAUGCCCUGGAUGUCCCCUCCUGGGCAUAAGCUGAUGCUACGCAGCCUGCGUGACCACUGGCUCUUUUAACGGAGAAUUUCCUCCUCAGGAGAGAAGCCGCUCGCUGAAACGGGGCGGCCGUUAAACCUUUCUACCCUCAGCACUGCCGCGCUGUGCAGAAAGCGGGAUUGGCCCUUUCCACGUGGGUUUUGGGCACCGUGCUAGCACCAAUGUUCCCUGAUUCCCAGAGCCCGCCGAGCCGCGCGGGAUGCUCCCCGCUCCGCGGAGGCUCAGGGGGCUCCCGAGCGCCGGAGGGCCGACGUGGCUUGUGGGGGGCCGGCGGUGCGGGGGCUGCGCUGCUCAGCGCCGGUAACACUUUCAGAGGAUGGUGUUCAAUGCUCACCCCCCCGUGGCUGCUGGGGUUGGCUGAGCAUGGGGAUCCUUUUUUUUUAAAAAAAAAAAAAAAAAAGAAAAUAA